rnacentral:lncRNA from 1 species
AAGGCCGAGAAAAUACACAGGCAUGAGCCAAUGGGUAAGGCUGUGGUGCUUUAGUUGACAGGAAGACCCAAUGUGGCAAGAACGAGGAACAGAGCCUUGCAGGGCUGGUCAGGGAGGAAGCUUCCAGAAGAAAUGUGGAGCUGGAUUCUGGAGGGCAGUUUGAUGCAGGAGGUGGAAAUGGCUGAGCUCUCAGGGAGCAAACCUGGAAGCAGAGAGAACAGGGCAAUGAAAUCAGGUGAUCGGGCGCUUAGAGAAACAGCCAAAUGAUAAGCAGGAAGCUGGGAGUGAGAGGGGAGUCUCCUAGGAAAGCAGAGUGGAGAAACCAUCAUUUGUGGGGUGUCUGCUCUCCACUCCUCACAUAAACAAUUGAACCCAGUUUAAUGGCCAUGAACUCUCCUCACUUUGUAGAUGAGGAAACGGAAACCCCAAGAUGUGAAUGAACUUGCCCAGGACCUGACUGGCUCUAAAACGCCCAGGCCACUCUCAGGCUGGGAUACUGCCAGUGCAUCUUCUAGGAGCUCUAAACGAAAUCGGUCCUGCCUGAUUGUCAUCUGUCAUCCCCAGAGGUCACCAAGGUCACUGCCCUCCUGACCACCCCCUGCACCUCUGGGUGGGCCCACAGUCUUAAGCCAUUCCUUGUCCACCAUCUUCAUGAAACACUGGAACCCCACAACCUUGGACCCUGGGGGUCCCCAGAGCUCCCAGCAGGAGCUCCAGGCCUAGGGAGGAGGCUUCUCGGAGCAAAGAGGGCCCUGCAGCAUCUUCUCUGGACCAGAGGCCCCCUGUAUGCAGGGCUCCGUGUCUGCUGCAGUUGGGGUCCAAGGAUCCGUAAUUUGGACAGGGAUCCAGAGACCAGAGCUAGCAGGGGCUGUCACAGGGGUCACAAGAGCACUCCAGACCCUCUCCGAUCCUCCAUCUGAGCAGAGGGCAGACUAGGCUUCCCAGACAUUCCUCCAAAAGCAAAGGCCACUUCCACCACCCACCCCGGGGGGAUGCCAUGCGCUGCCUUCCCAACUUCAGAGCCCCGUGGGCCCGCUGGUCCUGCAAGGUCUGCGAGGGGGGCCGUUUUGUGAGGAGCCGGCCCUCCCCUGGGGCAGCUGCACAGCGUCCCCCAGCCUUUCCUGCCCCAUCUCUGGGGGAGGGAGUCCAGAGGGCCGGCUCUGCAGUUCUGCCGGUUCCUGCGGCUCCUCCUGGUGGGGGCGAACACAGCAGCGAGUUUCUGCCACACUGCGGCCAGCCGCACCUGCUGCAUUCCCCGGCGAAGCCAAAGCUUGGGCUGGGCAACGUCACACCUCCUGAGGACAGCCAGGAGGACUCCGGCUUUUGCUGA